GCAGUGGCAGACGGGUGAGUAACGCGUGGGAAUUUACCGAUUGGUACGGAACAACCCAGAGAAAUUUGGGCUAAUACCGUAUGCGCCCCUUCGGGGGGAAAGAUUUAUCGCCGAUCGAUGAGCCCGCGUUGGAUUAGCUAGAUGGUGGGGUAAAAGCCUACCAUGGCGACGAUCCAUAGCUGGUCUGAGAGGAUGAUCAGCCACACUGGGACUGAGACACGGCCCAGACUCCGACGGGAGGCAGCAGUGGGGAAUAUUGGACAAUGGGGGCAACCCUGAUCCAGCCAUGCCGCGUGAGUGAUGAAGGCCCUAGGGUUGUAAAGCUCUUUCAGUCAUGAGGAUAAUGACGUUAAUGACAGAAGAAGCCCCGGCUAACUUCGUGCCAGCAGCCGCGGGAAUACGAAGGGGGCUAGGGUUGUUCGGAAUCACUGGGCGUAAAGCGCACGUAGGCGGACUUUUAAGUCAGGGGUGAAAUCCCGAGGCUCAACCUCGGAACUGCCUUUGAUACUGGAAGUCUUGAGUUCGAGAGAGGUGAGUGGAACUCCGAGUGUAGAGGUGAAAUUCGUAGAUAUUCGGAAGAACACCAGUGGCGAAGGCGGCUCACUGGCUCGAUACUGACGCUGAGGUGCGAAAGCGUGGGGAGCAAACAGGAUUAGAUACGCUGGUAGUCCACGCCGUAAACGAUGGAAGCUAGCCGUC
rnacentral:rRNA from 1 species